AUGUCACAUGAGAAUCUUAGGCGUAGGUUUAACGUUUGUGGGUUAUACAAGUUGCAUGGACGAAAAGGAUGUAAUUUCUUCAAUUGGUACGAUGAAGAAAUGUUUGUGCGUGCAAAUGAGGUGAUUUUGUCACUAAUGAAGAUAAUUUGUGAACUUAAGAAGAAGGAUAAUAUAAAGCUGAAACAAGAUGAGGAUUUGAAAAAGAAGCUAAAGUUUUGUCAAGGAUUAGUUGUUAUAGUUUUUGUGGUCAUUAUGGGAUUUCUCUGUAUUAUUAACUUGAAGGCUUGUGUUUAG